UUCCUGAUAGCUUAAAGGUAGAGCAUAUGGCUGUUAACCAUUAGGUUGUAGGUUCGAAUCCUACUCAGGAAG
rnacentral:tRNA from 1 species